AUAAUAAUACAUCUUCGUUUCUUUUUUCCAGAGAAAUCAGUCUGUCAUCCAUCUUCGGAAUGACAUGAGGGUCCAUAGAGGCACCUAGUUAGGAAGGCAUAGAUAAUCACUUCAGGCGAUGCUGGAGACCACCUUGUUAACAAGGACUACAGCAGCACAUCGCAAACAUCCCUGGAGGACUUCAGGUUGUCGCACCUGUAUCGGUCGGCAUCCUAUAAUUGGCAUUUGCUCGGGACGCUCUUGCUUUGAUUGAGAGAGCAGUCAUGGACAGGUGAGUCUCUCUCACAGGUGUUUUUAAACCAUUUGACACACUAUCAGCGGACACAGAUGGAGUCUAUUCCACUUAUUAUGCGCCUUGUUAAGACAAUUUGCUGCACCUGAGCUAAGCCCAGUUUGUCACCACAAUGAUGCCGGGUGUGAUACAUUUCCUUUUAGAUUUUAUAGUUCACCCAGAAUGAAAAUGUUGUCAGUGUUUACUCAUCCUGUUGUUGUUUUAAGGCUUGACUAUAGA